rnacentral:sRNA from 1 species
UGAGAACCAUGGUAGUAGCUGCUCCUCUUCUUCUUCGUCUUCUUCCUCCUGCUCAGGCUGCUCCCGGAAACACUAGA